GAUGAACGCUGGCGGCGUGCCUAAUACAUGCAAGUCGAGCGAACGGAUGAGAAGCUUGCUUCUCUGAUGUUAGCGGCGGACGGGUGAGUAACACGUGGAUAACCUACCUAUAAGACUGGGAUAACUUCGGGAAACCGGAGCUAAUACCGGAUAAUAUUUUGAACCGCAUGGUUCAAAAGUGAAAGACGGUCUUGCUGUCACUUAUAGAUGGAUCCGCGCUGCAUUAGCUAGUUGGUAAGGUAACGGCUUACCAAGGCAACGAUGCAUAGCCGACCUGAGAGGGUGAUCGGCCACACUGGAACUGAGACACGGUCCAGACUCCUACGGGAGGCAGCAGUAGGGAAUCUUCCGCAAUGGGCGAAAGCCUGACGGAGCAACGCCGCGUGAGUGAUGAAGGUCUUCGGAUCGUAAAACUCUGUUAUUAGGGAAGAACAUAUGUGUAAGUAACUGUGCACAUCUUGACGGUACCUAAUCAGAAAGCCACGGCUAACUACGUGCCAGCAGCCGCGGUAAUACGUAGGUGGCAAGCGUUAUCCGGAAUUAUUGGGCGUAAAGCGCGCGUAGGCGGUUUUUUAAGUCUGAUGUGAAAGCCCACGGCUCAACCGUGGAGGGUCAUUGGAAACUGGAAAACUUGAGUGCAGAAGAGGAAAGUGGAAUUCCAUGUGUAGCGGUGAAAUGCGCAGAGAUAUGGAGGAGCACCAGUGGCGAAGGCGACUUUCUGGUCUGUAACUGACGCUGAUGUGCGAAAGCGUGGGGAUCAAACAGG
rnacentral:rRNA from 1 species